AGAGAGAGAGAGAGAGAGAAAUGGUUCAUACGAAAAAAUUGUUUUAGGUUAGGGAAGAAUUCUGAAAAUGUAACUUCAUUUUAGGUUUUUAAAAUGGCUCAACCUCUAAAGUACCCCAUUCGGACAUUCAGUUGCUGUACCCAGCAUUCUUAAAUAAUUUAGUAUUGAACUACUCAUUUCCCUCUUCUGAUUAGCAUAAUUGUUGCUGCUAGCAGGCAACCUCUUAUCCUGCUGCACUUUUAUUUCCUUCUGUGCAUUAUUGCACAGACGGUCUCAGAUCUAACACUGAAUUUCUUUAUCAAUGCUUACUCCACUUCUGAAUUAUUGCAAUUUCAAAAUUUACUUUUCAUUGCACAUUCUAUAGAUUCUGCAUGGCAAUACAGUUCACCCGCUGACUUUUGGAACACAAGUUGAAAAAUAAAGGGGGGAGCUAUUUUUACUACUAGAAGGGAGCUCCCAUGAUAUGCUUUUCCUUAUCUUUUUCUGUACAACUUGCUAAGAUGUUGACCAAUUUAACUUAUCCCACAUAAAUGUGUCUGCAGGUGCAGCUGAUACCUUAUAAUCCA
rnacentral:misc_RNA from 1 species